rnacentral:rRNA from 12 species
GCGGAAGGAUCAUUAUU